AUGAAUCUUCUAUACUGGAACUGUCGUGGUGCUAGCAAACCAGCGACAGUUCGAGAGCUUCGUGAUAUAAAGAAGCAGUUUGCCCCCUCUGUACUAUGUAUCCUUGAAACUCAAAUAGAGGGAUCUAGAGUUGAGAGUAUGGUUGGUUCUCUAGGAUAUAAUAAAAGUUUUUCCGUUAGUAGCUCGAGCAGAAGUGGUGGCUUAGGAAUCUUUUGA
rnacentral:rRNA from 1 species